CAACACUUUCUGUUCCUCCACCAGGUCCACCAGGAGAAAGCAGAACAGGACCCGCGGGCCCUUCAGGCGCCGCCGGACUUCGCGGCCCCCCCGGACGUCCGGGACACGCAGGAGUCCGCGGACCCCCCGGACCUCCUGGAUACUGCGAUUCCUCUCAGUGCGUCGGUAUUCCUUACAACGGGCAGGGAUACGGAGGUUCACAGUAGACUUUCUAUGUGCUGCUUUCACUGACCGCCUGAACAAACACACAACACAUCGCUCACACGCUCUCCAGCUGUUUUAAACACGGAUAACCAGCCGAAGGAAAAACCUUUAACAAACAAACACAAGUCAACAACAACAACAACAAAGAGGGAAACUAACAGCGACUCACAAAGCGCCGACCCGUCCAGUGGCCUGUUUGCAGCUUGACGCCAAAGACCAAAACACAGAACCGUUGUGUUCGGUGGAGGAGCAUGCACCCAACAACAACAACAACAACAACAACAACAACAACAACCCGAUACUAACAAAGGUGGAUCUGUAGCAGAGAAGUAGCAGCAGCAGUAACUCUGUUAACAGCAUUUCUCUUCAGUGUAAAUAAACUAAUUCUUUCCUUGUAAAUGAUGUUUGAAUCACUACAUUUAGUUCUUAACAUCUGCAGUUUUAAAGCUUGAGCCUCGCAAACCAACAACCUGCUGCUUGCUGAAUGCCAACACCAAAGAAAACGCCUCUCUUAUUGUUACUGAUUUAUUAUUACCCGUGUGUUUUAAACUGCUCAGGGCCUCUGAAUCACUUCUGCACAUGUGACCCCCCCAACGUUUAGAUCUGACACCUUUUAUAUUUCUUUUAUUUGACGUUUCUUCUCCCCAAAACCAUCUUUACUGUGUCUGUAAGUUAUAUAAAACACUAACAACGCAAUCCCAAAGAAGUGUCUUUGAACUUAGAAAUGUUUUACUUUGUGAAUGAAUGAGUUCAUCAUCAACAGAAAGGAAACAGCACUGAGAUGUUAAGAGUAGGGGGCGUGUCCAACCUGAGGCCCCGCCCAAAAAGCUGGCAGUUGAUUAGUUGAUUGGCGGUAUCUCGGCCAAACAUCCCAGUUUAGAUGCUCUCCGUAUUUAGCUUUCUAAAGUUCUUUAAGCAUCAACAAUAAAAGAAAAAGUAUCCGGAUAUAUUAUGAAAUAUCAUGAAUUUAUAAUCAUAAUAACCUGCAGCCUGUUGCACCAAUAACUGCUCCGUGCACAUGGCAUCAUGUGAUUUAGUAAAUAACUAAAACUCAAAGAUCUCUUAUGUGGCUGAGAAGCAAAAACCUGAUUUGAAUUUUUACGAGCAUAACAUCUGAAAUAUGAAGUAUCCCACACGUUAGAAUAAGAGUUGUAGCCCGUUAACGUGUACAUGUUGAAGGUCCUAAUGUGUGUUUAAUCUCUGGGGAACAGCAGAGGAGACAUUAACCAGACUAGUUUUAAUCUGAACCGCUGCGGAGCUAAAGUGUGACGUAAUGUGGAUCCUUAAGACAGAGAACAAACACGGAGAACAUUGUUACCUGGAUGCUUCCUACGCUGCUAAUAAAAGAAAAGAGAGAAAGAGAUCAACAGCUGGAUCAGUUCUAAACCAAACCCACAAACCCAUGACGACCAAUCGGAACAUUUACCGAGGAAUCGCUCAGAAGACACAAACUCAUCUUUAAACGUAAUAAAGCUGCAACGUACAAUUCAUUGUUUGUAUGAUCAGAAAAAAACAGAGAAUUGGUUUUGGAACAAAUUUUUAAAAUGCAGCUUUUUUUUGUUAGCGAGUAAAUAUGUGGAUGGCCACGCCCCCUUCUCUCUGCUCUCCAUCGAUAUCGGUGCUUUAGACUUUAAGCCACUUCUAAACAGCUCCUCAGCCUGGUGGGGUUGUUUGUGUGCAUGGUAAAGAGAAAGUGAGAAACCUGUGCUCAAUUGGCCCAAACGAUAUCUCCGAGCAGGCCGAGUGGUCCCAGACCCCGAGGAGGACGAGCUGUCGCAAAACCAGCGUCGAAAGAGGUCGCUGUCCAGAUAGCCAUCCUGCAGGCUAACGUCAUAAGACCAACAUCUUGGAUUCCUGCACAUUAUAAACACAUAAAGAUAUAAAAGGGGGUUUGACACCUCGACUUCUUAUUGGAAAACACCUUAAAUGUCUUCAAACGUAUGUGAAUAUUCAUGUUUUUGUAGCAGGUUGAAAAGUUUGAAUGGAGAAACGUUAAGAAUCCACGAAAACAGCAAGAAGAGAAACCUGAGAUCUUUCCUUUUCCACUUGUCUGUUUCUUCUGCUUGUAACAUAUUUGCAUCCAGUUUGCUGUAACGAAGCUAAAGAAAGCAGGUUCAGGUUCAUUAAACUCAGCUUUCAUCUUGUAUCUCUAGACUUCAUAUUUAUCUGUUUUUCCUUUAUUCCGUCACAGCUCAUUUUAACAAACAAAGGUGGAAUUGCAUGUCUGUGGUGUAUAUUUAGUAGAUGUUCUUUUGUUGUUUUUUGUUACGUUUCAUUCUUGUUUUAACCAGAAUAUAGUUGUCAUUCUCUCAGUAUCGAAUGCAGUCAGAUAAACCUGCGUGACUAUGGAAGUGGUGUUGCUGCUUCAUGUUUGAACUGCAGAUUGUGAAUUCCACGGCCUUAUUUUCUUAUUUAUUUCUGAAAACAGAAGAGGCAUUUUUCAAUAAAACUACUGAAAAUG